CGCCCGUCAAGUCAUGAAAGUGGGCAGCACCCGAAGCCGGUGGCCUAACAGUUUUUGCUGGGGGAGCCGUCUAAGGUGAGGUUCGCGAUUGGGACUAAGUCGUAACAAGGUAGCCGUACCGGAAGGUGCGGCUGGAUCACCUCCUUUCUACGGAGAUUUGAGAAACCACUGUGUGUGGUUUGUUUUUAGGCACAACUUGAGACCAUGCUUGUUUUGUGAGUGUGGGGUUGUGUGUGGUGUGGAAAUUAUUGAAACGUUGUGGUAUGGGCAUGCUUUUGGGUUUCCAAAUUGCGACAGCUUUUUGGAAACAAGCCCGCUAUCAUGAUUGUGGCACUGUUUGGUGUUGUGGUUGUGUGGUGUGGUGUGGUGGUUUGAGAACUGGAUAGUGGACGCGAGCAAUGAUCUUUAUUGAUUGUUGUUGUAAUUGAACUGAACUUCUAAAUUUUUUUAGUGGUUUGUUGUUCGAUCGUUUUGUGAUCAUUUUAGUGUGAUGAUUUGUUGUCUAGGAAUUGUAUUCGAUAGGUGUUUAGCAGUGUUUUUGUUGUUAAGGGCUUAGGGUGGAUGCCUUGGCACAUGGGAGCGAUGAAAGACGUGGGAGGCUGCGAUAAGCCUCGGGGAGCUGUCAACCGAGCUGUGAUCCGAGGGAGUCUGAAUGAGGAAACUCACUGGGUAGGAAUGCCUGGUACUCAAACUUUGUUUGGGGGCGUACGUAGGGAAGUGAAACAUCUCAGUACCUACAGGAAGAGAUAUUCCGUUAGUAGUGGCGAGCGAAAGCGGAGGAGACCAAACCGGUUGUGUGUGAUACUUGUCAGGGGUUGCAUGAUCGGUGUUGUGGGAUGUUGUCGUACUGGUUCUGACAAGCUGGUGGCAAGUGAUAAAACAGGGUGUGAGCUGAACAGGAUUGAAUGCCUGGCUGUAGAGGGUGAUGGCCCCGUAGGUGUAAAUGCUUUGUCUUGUUGAUGAUGGUCCCAAGUAGCACGAUACUCGAGGAAUUUCGUGUGAAUCUGCCCAGACCGUUGGGUAAGUCUAAAUAUAUCCAUGUGACCGAUAGUGGACGA
rnacentral:sRNA from 1 species